UGCCCCUUGUACACACCGCCCGUCGCUCCUACCGAUGAGGUGAUCCGGUGAGCUGUCCGGACUGCGAUUAGUUCAGUUUCUGUCUCUUCGCGGGAAGUUCUGCAAACCUUAUCACUAGAGGAAGGAGAAGUCGUAACAAGGUUUCCGUAGGUGAACCUGCGGAAGGAUCAUUC
rnacentral:ncRNA from 1 species